UAGGGAAUAUUAGAAAUGGACGAAAGUCUGAUCUCGCCACACCGCGUGUGCGAAGAAGGCCUUCGGGUCGUAAAGCACUUUUUGGAAGGAAUAGGAAGGAAUGUACUUCCAGAAUAAGUCUCGGCCAACUACGUGCCAGCAGCCGCGGUAACACGUAGGAGGCGAACGUUAUCCGGAGUUACUGGGCGUAAAGCGCGUGUAGGUGGUACUGUAAGUAGGGCGUGAAAGCUCCUGGCUCAACUGGGAGAGGCCGUUCUAAACUCCAGAACUAGAGGAUGGUAGAGGGAGGUGGAAUUCCAGGUGUAGCGGUGGAAUGCGCAGAUAUCUGGAGGAACACCGGUGGCGAAGGCGGCCUCCUGGACCAUUCCUGACACUCAGACGCGAAAGCUAGGGUAGCAAACG
rnacentral:rRNA from 1 species